ACGCUCGACACCUACGGGCAGCAGUGGGGAAUAUUGCACAAUGGGGGAAACCCUGAUGCAGCAACGCCGCGUGAAGGAAGAAGGUUUUCGGAUCGUAAACUUCUAUCAAUAGGGAAGAAAGAAAUGACGGUACCUAAAUAAGAAGCCCCGGCUAACUACGUGCCAGCACGCCGAGUAUNGNGGCGGNGNGACGAG
rnacentral:rRNA from 1 species